rnacentral:rRNA from 1 species
AUAGGGGAGCCGGAGGGAAACCGAGUCUUAACCGGGCGUUAAGUUGCAGGGUAUAGACCCGAAACCCGGUGAUCUAGCCAUGGGCAGGUUGAAGGUUGGGUAACACUAACUGGAGGACCGAACCGACUAAUGUUGAAAAAUUAGCGGAUGACCUGUGGCUGGGGGUGAAAGGCCAAUCAAACCGGGAGAUAGCUGGUUCUCCCCGAAAGCUAUUUAGGUAGCGCCUCGUGAAUUCAUCUCCGGGGGUAGAGCACUGUUUCGGCUAGGGGGCCAUCCCGGCUUACCAACCCGAUGCAAACUGCGAAUACCGGAGAAUGUUAUCACGGGAGACACACGGCGGGUGCUAACGUCCGUCGUGAAGAGGGAAACAACCCAGACCGCCAGCUAAGGUCCCAAAGUCAUGGUUAAGUGGGAAACGAUGUGGGAAGGCCCAGACAGCCAGGAUGUUGGCUUAGAAGCAGCCAUCAUUUAAAGAAAGCGUAAUAGCUCACUGGUCGAGUCGGCCUGCGCGGAAGAUGUAACGGGGCUAAACCAUGCACCGAAGCUGCGGCAGCGACGCUUAUGCGUUGUUGGGUAGGGGAGCGUUCU